UACGGGGGGGGCAAGCGUUGUUCGGAAUUACUGGGCGUAAAGGGCUCGUAGGCGGCCAACUAAGUCAGACGUGAAAUCCCUCGGCUUAACCGGGGAACUGCGUCUGAUACUGGAUGGCUUGAGUUUGGGAGAGGGAUGCGGAAUUCCAGGUGUAGCGGUGAAAUGCGUAGAUAUCAGGAGGAACACCUGUGGCGAAAGCGGCUCACUGGACCAUAACUGACGCUGAUGCACGAAAGCUAGGGGAGCAAACAGG
rnacentral:rRNA from 1 species